rnacentral:rRNA from 1 species
CCUGCGGAGCUUACCAUGCAAGUCGAGCGCCCCGCAAGGGGAGCGGCAGACGGGUGAGUAACGCGUGGGAACGUACCUUUUGCUACGGAAUAACUCAGGGAAACUUGUGCUAAUACCGUAUGUGCCCUUCGGGGGAAAGAUUUAUCGGCAAAGGAUCGGCCCGCGUUGGAUUAGCUAGUUGGUGAGGUAAAGGCUCACCAAGGCGACGAUCCAUAGCUGGUCUGAGAGGAUGAUCAGCCACACUGGGACUGAGACACGGCCCAGACUCCUACGGGAGGCAGCAGUGGGGAAUAUUGGACAAUGGGCGCAAGCCUGAUCCAGCCAUGCCGCGUGAGUGAUGAAGGCCCUAGGGUUGUAAAGCUCUUUCACCGGUGAAGAUAAUGACGGUAACCGGAGAAGAAGCCCCGGCUAACUUCGUGCCAGCAGCCGCGGUAAUACGAAGGGGGCUAGCGUUGUUCGGAUUUACUGGGCGUAAAGCGCACGUAGGCGGCCUUGUAAGUCAGGGGUGAAAUCCCACGGCUCAACCGUGGAACUGCCUUUGAAACUGCAGGGCUUGAAUCCUGGAGAGGGUGGCGGAAUUCCUGGUGUAGGAGUGAAAUCCGUAGAUAUCAGGAGGAACACCGGUGGCGAAGGCGGCCACCUGGACAGGUAUUGACGCUGAGGUGCGAAAGUGUGGGGAGCAAACAGGAUUAGAUACCCUGGUAGUCCACACCGUAAACGAUGGAUACUAGGUGUCGGGGACUUGAUCUUCGGUGCCGUAGCUAACGCGUUAAGUAUCCCGCCUGGGGAGUACGGUCGCAAGGCUGAACUCAAAGAAAUU